rnacentral:rRNA from 1 species
CUUGGUCAUUUAGAGGAAGUAAAAGUCGUAACAAGGUUUCCGUAGGUGAACCUGCGGAAGGAUCAUUAUUGAAAUAAACCUGAUGAGCUGCUGCUGGUUCUCUAGGGAACAUGUGCACGCUUGUCAUCUUUAUAUCUUCACCUGUGCACCUUUGUAGACCUGAAUAUCUUUCUGAGUGCUCUUUAAAGGCAUUCAGGUUUUGAGGAUUGACUUUUCCUGUCAUUCUCUUACAUUUUCAGGCCUAUGUUUCUUCACAUACCCAAUGCAUGUUAUAGAAUGUAGUCAUUAGGUGUUAAAGCCUUAUAAAUCUAUACAACUUUCAGCAACGGAUCUCUUGGCUCUCGCGUCGAUGAAGAACGCAGCGAAAUGCGAUAAGUAAUGUGAAUUGCAGAAUUCAGUGAAUCAUCGAAUCUUUGAACGCACCUUGCGCUCCUUGGUAUUCUGAGGAGCAUGCCUGUUUGAGUGUCAUUAAUAUAUCAAUCUCUUCAGCUUUUGCUUGUUGAGUUUUUGGAUGUGGGGGUUUUUGCUGGCCUCUUUUCUGAGGUUGGCUCUCCUAAAAUGCAUUAGCGGAACAACUAGCUGACCGUUCAUUGGUGUGAUAACUAUCUACGCUAGGAAUGGGAAGCAUGUUUAGCUUACAACAGUCCAUUGGCUUGGACAAAUUUUUAUUAAUGUGACCUCAAAUCAGGUAGGACUACCCGCUGAACUUAAGCAUAUCAAUAAGCGGAGGAAAAGAAACUAACAAGGAUUCCCCUAGUAACUGCGAGUGAAGCGGGAAAAGCUCAAAUUUAAAAUCUGGCGGUCUCUGGCUGUCCGAGUUGUAAUCUAGAGAAGUGCCAUCGGCGCUGGACCGUGUACAAGUCUCCUGGAAUGGAGCGUCAUAGAGGGUGAGAAUCCCGUCUUUGACACGGACUACCAGGGCUUUUGUGAUGCGCUCUCAAAGAGUCGAGUUGUUUGGGAAUGCAGCUCAAAAUGGGUGGUAAAUUCCAUCUAAAGCUAAAUAUUGGCGAGAGACCGAUAGCGAACAAGUACCGUGAGGGAAAGAUGAAAAGAACUUUGGAAAGAGAGUUAAACAGUACGUGAAAUUGCUGAAAGGGAAACGCUUGAAGUCAGUCGCGUUGUCCAGGGAUCAACCUUGCUUUUGCCAGGUGCACUUCCUGUUCGACGGGUCAGUAUCAAUUUUGAUCAUUGGAAAAAGAUUUAGGGGAAUGUGACAUCUUUGGAUGUGUUUAUAGCCUCUAGUUGCAUACAGUGGUUGGGAUUGAGGAACUCAGCACGCCGCAAGGCCGGGUUUUUUAACCACGUACGUGCUUAGGAUACUGGCAAAAUGGCUUUAAUCGACCCGUCUUGAAACACGGACC